AUUGAACGCUGGCGGCAGGCUUAACACAUGCAAGUCGAACGAGUGGCGGACGGGUGAGUAAUGUCUGGGAAACUGCCUGAUGGCGGGGGAUAACUACUGGAAAAGGUAGCUAAUACCGCAUACCAUCGGAUGUGCCCAGAUGGGCUUAGCUAGUAGGUGGGGUAAAGGCUCACCUAGGCGACGAUCCCUAGCUGGUCUGAGAGGAUGACCAGCCACACUGGAACUGAGACACGGUCCAGACUCCUACGGGAGGCAGCAGUGGGGAAUAUUGCACAAUGGGCGCAAGCCUGAUGCAGCCAUGCCGCGUGUAUGACGAAGGCCUUCGGGUUGUAGAGUACUUUCAGCAGAGAAGCGGUACCCGCAGAAGAAGCACCGGCUAACUCCGUGCCAGCAGCCGCGGUAAUAC
rnacentral:rRNA from 1 species